AUUGAACGCUGGCGGCAGGCCUAACACAUGCAAGUCGAACGAGUGGCGGACGGGUGAGUAAUGUCUGGGAAACUGCCUGAUGGAGGGGGAUAACUACUGGAAACGGUAGCUAAUACCGCAUACCAUCGGAUGUGCCCAGAUGGGAUUAGCUAGUAGGGGGGGUAACGGCUCACCUAGGCGACGAUCCCUAGCUGGUCUGAGAGGAUGACCAGCCACACUGGAACUGAGACACGGUCCAGAAUCCUAGGGGAGGCAGCAGUGGGGAAUAUUGCACAAUGGGCGAAAGGCGGAGGCAGCCAUGCCGCGUGGAUGAAGAAGGCCGUCGGGUGGUAAAGUACUUUCAGCGGGGAGGCGUUACCCGCAGAAGAAGCACCGGCUAACUCCGUGCCAGCCGCCGCGGUAAUAC
rnacentral:rRNA from 1 species